UGGGGAGUACGGCCGCAAGGUUAAAACUCAAAUGAAUUGACGGGGGCCCGCACAAGCGGUGGAGCAUGUGGUUUAAUUCGAUGCAACGCGAAGAACCUUACCUACUCUUGACAUCCAGAGAAUUUAGCAGAGAUGCUUUAGUGCCUUCGGGAACUCUGAGACAGGUGCUGCAUGGCUGUCGUCAGCUCGUGUUGUGAAAUGUUGGGUUAAGUCCCGCAACGAGCGCAACCCUUAUCCUUUGUUGCCAGCGAUUCGGUCGGGAACUCAAAGGAGACUGCCGGUGAUAAACCGGAGGAAGGUGGGGAUGACGUCAAGUCAUCAUGGCCCUUACGAGUAGGGCUACACACGUGCUACAAUGGCGUAUACAAAGAGAAGCGACCUCGCGAGAGCAAGCGGAACUCAUAAAGUACGUCGUAGUCCGGAUUGGAGUCUGCAACUCGACUCCAUGAAGUCGGAAUCGCUAGUAAUCGUAGAUCAGAAUGCUACGGUGAAUACGUUCCCGGGCCUUGUACACACCGCCCGUCACACCAUGGGAGUGGGUUGCAAAAGAAGUAGGUAGCUUAACCUUCGGGAGGGCGCUUACCACUUUGUGAUUCAUGACUGGGGUGAAGUCGUAACAAGGUAACCAAGGGCGAAUUCGCGGCC
rnacentral:rRNA from 1 species